rnacentral:rRNA from 1 species
UACGGAGGGGGCAAGCGUUGUUCGGAUUUACUGGGCGUAAAGGGCGCGUAGGCGGCUUUGUAAGUUACUUGUGAAAUCUCCGAGCUUAACUCGGAACUGCCAAGUAAUACUGCAGAGCUAGAGUGCAGAAGGGGCAACUGGAAUUCUUGGUGUAGCGGUGAAAUGCGUAGAUAUCAAGAGGAACACCUGAGGUGAAGACGGGUUGCUGGGCUGACACUGACGCUGAGGCGCGAAAGCUAGGGUAGCAAACGGG